GCCCCAAAUUUAGCCCUAGACUAUUAUAUAAAUUCAACAGACCUAGUCCAUAAGAUAAAACAUUUUAACUUAUUAAGUAGAGGCGAUUGAAAAAGCUCUAAGCGCUAUAGAGAAAGUACCGCAAGGGAAAAAUGAAAUAACAGUGAAAUAAUAAAGCUAUUAAUAGCAGAGACCUUACCUCGUACCUUUUGCAUCAUGGCCCAGCAAGACUUAAUAAGCAAAAUGAAAUUUAAGUUUUUAACCCCGAAACUAAGCGAGCUACUUUUAAACAGCCUCUCGGGCCAACCCGUCUCUGUAGCAAUAGAGUGGGACGAUUUAUAAGUAGAAGUGAAAAGCCUAUCGAGCCUAGAAAUAGCUGGUUAUUCAUGAAAAGAAUAUAAGUUCUGCCUUAAGUUUUCCUAAUGACCUCAAACAAAAUCUCAAACUUAAGAGUUAUUUAAAUAAGGAACAGCUUAUUUAAACCAGGACACAACCUAUACAAGAGGGUAAGGCCUUAGUUGUCACCAAGUGGGCCUGAAGGCAGCCAUCUUUUAAAAAGCGUCAAAGCUUAACCUAAUUUUACCUAAAUACUAUUAAUCCCCCUGACCCCCUAUUUGAUAAUGAAUGACUCCAUACAAUUAUGGAAGACACCAUGCUGGGAUGAGUAACAAGAAUUUAUAAUUCUCCUAAAUGCAAACAUAGACCAACGCGGACAAACCAUUGGUAAUUACCGAAUCUGAGCUUAUUGCACUAACAUCUACAAGAAAAUCCUGCAGUACUCACUCGUUAACCUAACACUAGUGCAUUCCGGGAAAGAUUUUAAAAAAGAGAAGGAACUCGGCAAAUAACGACCCCGCCUGUUUACCAAAAACAUCGCCUCUUGUUUAUGAUAAGAGGUCCAGCCUGCCCAGUGAACUUUUAACGGCCGCGGUACCCUAACCGCGCGAAGGUAGCAUAAUCACUUGUUCUUUAAAUGGGGACUUGUAUCAACGGCAUCACGAGGGUUUUACUGUCUCCUCUUUUUAAUCAGUGAAAUUGAUCUUCCCGUGAAGAAGCGGGAAUACCCCUAUAAGACGAGAAGACCCCAUGGAGCUUUAAACCAAAUAGCAACUUAACUAUAUAUCCCCCCAUAGUUCCAUAAAGCCAUGCUACAAGGUUUUUGGUUGGGGUGACCGCGGAGUAAAAUGUAACCUCCACGACGGAAAGGCCACAAUCUUUAUUUAAGAACCACAAUUCUAAAAACUAGCACACUAACGUACACUGACCCGACAAUCGAUCAACGGACCAAGUUACCCUGGGGAUAACAGCGCAAUCUACUUCGAGAGCCCAUAUCGACAAGUAGGCUUACGACCUCGAUGUUGGAUCAGGGUAUCCCAGUGGUGCA
rnacentral:rRNA from 1 species